rnacentral:tRNA from 1 species
GGGUGUGUGGCUGAGUGGUUUAAGGCAUGGUAUUUGAGCUACCAAGGUGACAAGCCCACGUGUUCGAAUCACGUCACACCCG